UGGGGAAUAUUGCACAAUGGACGGAAGUUUGAUGCAGCGACGCCGCGUGGAGGGUGUAGGCCUUCGGGUUGUGAACUCCUUUUUCUCGCGAAAAAGGCACAGUUUUGGCUGUGUUGAUGGUAGUGGGGGAAGAAGCGCCGGCUAACUACGUGCCAGCAGCCGCGGUAAUACGUAGGGCGCGAGCGUUGUCCGGAUUUAUUGGGCGUAAAGAGCUCGUAGGUGGUGCGUCGCGUCUGUCGUGAAAGCCAGCAGCUUAACUGUUGGUCUGCGGUGGGUACGGGCGGGCUUGAGUGCGGUAGGGGUGACUGGAAUUCCUGGUGUAGCGGUGGAAUGCGCAGAUAUCGGGAGGAACACCGAUGGCGAAGGCAGGUCACUGGGCCGUUACUGACACUGAGGAGCGAAAGCGUGGGGAGCGAACAGG
rnacentral:rRNA from 1 species